CAGCAGCAGCCACGGUAAUACGGAGGGAGCUAGCGUCGUUCGGAAUUACUGGGCGUAAAGCGCACGUAGGCGGCUUUGUAAGUCAGAGGUGAAAGCCUGGAGCUCAACUCCAGAACUGCCUUUGAGACUGCAUCGCUUGAAUCCAGGAGAGGUGAGUGGAAUUCCGAGUGUAGAGGUGAAAUUCGUAGAUAUUCGGAAGAACACCAGUGGCGAGGCGGCUCACUGGACUGGUAUUGACGCUGAGGUGCGAAAGCGUGGGGAGCAAAUGGGAUUAGAUACUCGCGUAGUCCCUGUCUCUUAUACA
rnacentral:rRNA from 1 species